rnacentral:lncRNA from 1 species
UCUCUGCCAAACUACUAUGGCUGUUCACAGAAGAAAAACUCAAGAAGGUUAAUUGAACCUGUACAAUUAAUAGCUUAUCUUGUUUGACGCGGUACCUCUGAAGUUGCCAUUGGUAUCUCUAGAGUAACAGAAAAGGGCUGAAAUGAAAUAUCACCUUCCCUGUUUUGUAUUUCACAUUUUCUUCAACAGACCCCAUGUUUAUCCAUUAGCAUAAUUAUUGGGAUAACAAACACCCUAGCUUUGUAUUGCACACCCAAGAGAGAAACAAAUUUGAAAUUACAUAAAAAAUGAAACAAGACUUGGGUAUUUCUCUGCCUCUUUUAACAAAAUACAGUACAGACACACAGCAGAGGAAAGAAUGUAACCCAGGAAAUUCAAGCCAGCAGUAAUGGGGAAGAAGCAAUUUCCAUCCUGCUGCUGUAGACCCAAGAUGUGUUACAUAGUCACCCUCUGUGCAGGCUGCAGAAACAAGGACUCGUCCACCAAGAACUAGUUUUAUUUAUUGGACAGAUUAGCAGGCAUUAAUUGGUCGCCUUCCUGGUUUCUGCUGGGAAAGGUACAGUAAUCACUGGGGCAUUUUUCACAUUGCUGGCAUAGUUUUCCAUCCCUCCUGCUGAGAAGCAGGGACCCUUGCAUACUUCAGAAGGGCUUAAAGGCUUGCCCUGUGCCACCACAGUAGCAGUGCUGGGCUCAGGCUGGGGUGUGGGGAAUUUGCGUUAGAAGGAUUAAAUACCAGGGCUAUUGUGGAAUUUUAAACUGUGGUUUCUUCAGCUGACCACAGGCCCAGAACUCGUGUGUGGCAUCACUGAACCUCCAAAAAUCUUGCAGGCAUCUGAUCUUUUCUUUCGUAAGAAAGAACUGAGAACUGAGGAGAGAGUCCUUCUGAAGAUACAAAAUGAGGGACCAGAGAAACCAAGUGUGAAAGUACAUCUGCCAGCUGAGCUCAGUUCUGCUCUCAGCAGUAUUUGAUCCUGUUCUUCUAAAACCCCAUUGGAUUGGUCACACUACAGAAUCUCCACUAUCAAGGACUUUGGGACUUCUAGCAUUCUCCUCUCAUUCACUUUAAAAUUUUGCAGUAACAAUUGUUGUAGAACUCUUCAUUGUCGUUAUCAACAACAACAUCACAUCUUUUUCUCCAUUUAUAAAUUCUAGCCAUCUCCCAUUUAAGAAAACGAAACUGCAGUACUAUACUGGAAUAAGCACUUUACAAUAAUACAGCUGAUUUUAAUAUGAAGUUGGAAUUCCAUCAACAAGCAAUCUCGGAAAUGCAGAAAGUACAAAAAU